rnacentral:rRNA from 1 species
UGGGGAAUCUUGCACAAUGGGGGCAACCCUGAUGCAGCGACGCCGCGUGAGCGAUGAAGCCCUUCGGGGCGUAAAGCUCUUUCGACCGGAACGAUAAUGACGGUACCGGGAGAAGAAGCUGCGGCUAACUACGUGCCAGUAGCCGCGGUAAUACGUAGGCAGCAGGCGUUGUUCGGAAUUACUGGGCGUAAAGGGCGCGUAGGCGGUUUGCUUAGUCAGGCGUGAAAGCCCUGGGCUUAACCUGGGAUGUGCGCUUGAUACUGGCAGGCUUGAGUGUGGGAGAGGUUGGUGGAAUUCCCAGUGUAGAGGUGAAAUUCGUAGAUAUUGGGAAGAACACCGGUGGCGAAGGCGGCCAACUGGACCACAACUGACGCUGAGGCGCGAAAGCGUGGGGAGCAAACA